GUUAAGCGACUAAGCGUACACGGUGGAUGCCCUGGCAGUCAGAGGCGAUGAAGGACGUGCUAAUCUGCGAUAAGCGUCGGUAAGGUGAUAUGAACCGUUAUAACCGGCGAUUUCCGAAUGGGGAAACCCAGUGUGUUUCGACACACUAUCAUUAACUGAAUCCAUAGGUUAAUGAGGCGAACCGGGGGAACUGAAACAUCUAAGUACCCCGAGGAAAAGAAAUCAACCGAGAUUCCCCCAGUAGCGGCGAGCGAACGGGGAGCAGCCCAGAGCCUGAAUCAGUGUGUGUGUUAGUGGAAGCGUCUGGAAAGGCGCGCGAUACAGGGUGACAGCCCCGUACACAAAAAUGCACAUGCUGUGAGCUCGAUGAGUAGGGCGGGACACGUGGUAUCCUGUCUGAAUAUGGGGGGACCAUCCUCCAAGGCUAAAUACUCCUGACUGACCGAUAGUGAACCAGUACCGUGAGGGAAAGGCGAAAAGAACCCCGGCGAGGGGAGUGAAAAAGAACCUGAAACCGUGUACGUACAAGCAGUGGGAGCCUCUUUAUGGGGUGACUGCGUACCUUUUGUAUAAUGGGUCAGCGACUUAUAUUCUGUAGCAAGGUUAACCGAAUAGGGGAGCCGAAGGGAAACCGAGUCUUAACUGGGCGUUAAGUUGCAGGGUAUAGACCCGAAACCCGGUGAUCUAGCCAUGGGCAGGUUGAAGGUUGGGUAACACUAACUGGAGGACCGAACCGACUAAUGUUGAAAAAUUAGCGGAUGACUUGUGGCUGGGGGUGAAAGGCCAAUCAAACCGGGAGAUAGCUGGUUCUCCCCGAAAGCUAUUUAGGUAGCGCCUCGUGAAUUCAUCUCCGGGGGUAGAGCACUGUUUCGGCAAGGGGGUCAUCCCGACUUACCAACCCGAUGCAAACUGCGAAUACCGGAGAAUGUUAUCACGGGAGACACACGGCGGGUGCUAACGUCCGUCGUGAAGAGGGAAACAACCCAGACCGCCAGCUAAGGUCCCAAAGUCAUGGUUAAGUGGGAAACGAUGUGGGAAGGCCCAGACAGCCAGGAUGUUGGCUUAGAAGCAGCCAUCAUUUAAAGAAAGCGUAAUAGCUCACUGGUCGAGUCGGCCUGCGCGGAAGAUGUAACGGGGCUAAACCAUGCACCGAAGCUGCGGCAGCGACGCUUAUGCGUUGUUGGGUAGGGGAGCGUUCUGUAAGCCUGUGAAGGUGUGCUGUGAGGCAUGCUGGAGGUAUCAGAAGUGCGAAUGCUGACAUAAGUAACGAUAAAGCGGGUGAAAAGCCCGCUCGCCGGAAGACCAAGGGUUCCUGUCCAACGUUAAUCGGGGCAGGGUGAGUCGACCCCUAAGGCGAGGCCGAAAGGCGUAGUCGAUGGGAAACAGGUUAAUAUUCCUGUACUUGGUGUUACUGCGAAGGGGGGACGGAGAAGGCUAUGUUGGCCGGGCGACGGUUGUCCCGGUUUAAGCGUGUAGGCUGGUUUUCCAGGCAAAUCCGGAAAAUCAAGGCUGAGGCGUGAUGACGAGGCACUACGGUGCUGAAGCAACAAAUGCCCUGCUUCCAGGAAAAGCCUCUAAGCAUCAGGUAACAUCAAAUCGUACCCCAAACCGACACAGGUGGUCAGGUAGAGAAUACCAAGGCGCUUGAGAGAACUCGGGUGAAGGAACUAGGCAAAAUGGUGCCGUAACUUCGGGAGAAGGCACGCUGAUAU
rnacentral:rRNA from 1 species